CAUGUUGUCGGCCACUUGUAUGAUAAGAUUAAUUCAAUUGUGUUUGCGAAAUUUGCGUGGAAUAAUAAUAGAGUCGAGUUUCGACGAAGAACUUUUUUUCUUUUUCUUCUUCCUAUAAAUAGUUCUUUUAGAUGAACGGUAGUAUUCACUAUUCAGUUACCUCUGUUGAUGUUAUUAAAAAGAAAUGUUUAUAUGAUUUCCCACGAUUAGUUAAUAAGUCUGUAUAUAUUGUCAAAGUUUGUAGCAUGGCGUUUUAUUAGUUUU
rnacentral:lncRNA from 1 species